AACGAACGCUGGCGGCAUGCCUAACACAUGCAAGUCGAACGAGACCUUUGGGUCUAGUGGCGCACGGGUGCGUAACGCGUGGGAAUCUGCCCUUGGGUUCGGAAUAACAGUUAGAAAUGACUGCUAAUACCGGAUGGUGACUUCGGUCCAAAGAUUUAUCGCCCAAGGAUGAGCCCGCGUAGGAUUAGCUAGUUGGUAGGGUAAAGGCCUACCAAGGCGACGAUCCUUAGCUGGUCUGAGAGGAUGAUCAGCCACACUGGGACUGAGACACGGCCCAGACGCCUACGGGAGGCAGCAGUGGGGAAUAUUGGACAAUGGGCGAAAGCCUGAUCCAGCAAUGCCGCGUGAGUGAUGAAGGCCCUAGGGUUGUAAAGCUCUUUUACCCGGGAUGAUAAUGACAGUACCGGGAGAAUAAGCCCCGGCUAACUCCGUGCCAGCAGCCGCCGUAAUAC
rnacentral:rRNA from 1 species